GCCUUCUUAGCUUAGUGGUAGAGCGCGUGGCUUUUAACCACGUUGUUGUUGGUUUGAUCUCCACAGAUGUUG
rfam:Ipomoea nil DNA, scaffold: scaffold0861, cultivar: Tokyo-kokei standard.